GACGAACGCUGGCGGCGUGCUUAACACAUGCAAGUCGAACGGAAAGGCCCCUUUGGGGGUACUCGAGUGGCGAACGGGUGAGUAACACGUGAGUAACCUGCCCUUGACUUCGGGAUAACUUCAGGAAACUGGGGCUAAUACCGGAUAGGAAUCCUUGCUGCAUGGUGGGGGUUGGAAAGCUUCGGCGGUUUUGGAUGGACUCGCGGCUUAUCAGCUUGUUGGUGGGGUAGUGGCUUACCAAGGCUUUGACGGGUAGCCGGCCUGAGAGGGCGACCGGCCACAUUGGGACUGCGAUACGGCCCAGACUCCUACGGGAGGCAGCAGUGGGGAAUAUUGCACAAUGGGCGGAAGCGUGAUGCAGCAACGCCGCGUGCGGGAUGACGGGCUUCGGGUUGUAAACCGCUUUCAGCAGGGGCGAAGCUUGUGGUGACGGUACCUGCAGAAGAGGCACCGGCUAACUACGUG
rnacentral:rRNA from 1 species